rnacentral:rRNA from 1 species
UACGAAGGGUGCAAGCGUUACUCGGAAUUACUGGGCGUAAAGCGUGCGCAGGCGGUUUUGUAAGUCUGUCGUGAAAGCCCCGGGCUCAACCUGGGAAUUGCGAUGGAGACUGCAAGGCUUGAAUCUGGCAGAGGGGGGUAGAAUUCCACGUGUAGCAGUGAAAUGCGUAGAGAUGUGGAGGAACACCGAUGGCGAAGGCAGCCCCCUGGGUCAAGAUUGACGCUCAUGCACGAAAGCGUGGGGAGCAAACAGG